rnacentral:lncRNA from 1 species
AUGUCCCCAGAUCCUGCCCUGAAUUCCCGGGAAACGGCCCCGGAUCCUGCCCUGAAUCCCUGGAAUUGCCCCCAAAUCCUGGGAAAUGUCCCCAGAUCCUGCCCUGAAUUCCCGGGAAACGGCCCCGGAUCCUGCCCUGAAUUCCUGGAAUUGUUCCCAGAUCCUGCCCCAAAUCCUGCCCCAAAUCCUGGGAAUUCCCCCCAAAUCCUGGGAAUUCCCCCCAAACCCAACGCCAAAAUCCCCUUGAAAUUCCUUGAAAUUUUCCCUGGAAUUCCCCCCAAAAUCCCCUUAAAAUUCCACCCCAAAUCCACUGAAAAUUCCCUUAAAAUCCACCCCAAAUUCCCCAAAAUUCCCUUAAAAUCCACCCAAAAUUCCCGUUUUUUUCCCCCCCCUCUGGAAUUCUGUCUCCCCUCGAUGUCACCCCAAUAAAGAGAGGGGGGGAGGGGUCGAUCCUAAAUCCCCUCCCCCACCCCUUUUGGAAUUUUCCGGCAAAAAAAAAAUUUGGGAUUGGUGUCAGUGAGGAAUUGGGGGAGGGGAUUUGGGUCCCAAAAUCCCUCAAAUUUCCCCCAAAAAAGUCCAAAAAAAAAAAGCUCAGAAUCUUCCCAAAAAAAUGACUCAAAAAUCCCCCAAAAUGUCCCAAAAAAUUCCCCCAAAUCCCUCAAAAUAUUCCAAAAAAUCUCCCCCCAAAAAGUUCCCAAAAUCGCCUCAAAAAAUCCCCCAAAUUGCACCAAAAAUCCCCCAAAAAGGUCCCAAAAAAUUCCCCAAAAUAUCCCAAAAAAUUCCCCAAAAUAUCCCCAAAAAAUCCCCUCAUAAAACCCGCCAAAACAUUCCCAAAACUCCCUCAAAAUAUUCCCAAAAAUCCCCCCAAAAUAUUCCCAAAAAUCCCCCUCAAAAUAUUCCCAAAAAAAUUCCCUAUAAUCCUCCGGUUUGACCUUCCCAACAUGGCGGCACCGGAAGUGCCCUUCCCGAUAUGGCGGAACCGGAAGUUACC